rnacentral:rRNA from 1 species
GACGAACGCUGGCGGCGUGCUUAACACAUGCAAGUCGAACGAAGUGGCGAACGGGUGAGUAACGAGUAAUCAACCUGCCCUUCAGAGGGGGACAACAGUUGGAAACGACUGCUAAUACCGAAUACUGAAGGAGGGGAUUGCGUUGGAUUAGCUAGAUGGAGGGGCAACGGCCCACCAAGGAGAUGAUCAGUAGCCGGUCGAGAAGGCAGAACGUCCACAUUGGGACUGAGACACGGCCCAGACUCCUACGGUAGGCAGCAGUUGGGAAUCUUCCGCAAUGGACGAAAGUCUGACGGAGCAACGCCGCGGGAUGGAUGACGGCCUUCGGGUUGUAAAGCUCUGUUAAGCGGGACGCGGUACCGGAAUAGAAAGCCACGGCUAACUACGUGCCAGCAGCCGCGGUAAUAC